rnacentral:rRNA from 1 species
GUAGGGAAUAUUGGGCAAUGGAGGCAACUCUGACCAAGCCAUGCCGCGUGCAGGAAGAAGGUCCUCUGGAUUGUAAACUGCUUUUGAAUGGGAAGAAACGUAGUCUUGCGAGGCUAUUUGACGGUACUAUUAGAAUAAGCACCGGCUAACUCCGUGCCAGCAGCCGCGGUAAUACGGAGGGUGCAAGCGUUAUCCGGAUUUAUUGGGUUUAAAGGGUGCGUAGGCGGCUUUAUAAGUCUGGGGUUAAAGGCGGCAGCUUAACUGUACGCAUGCCUUGGAAACUGUGAGGCUUGAGUGACUGGAGGUAGCUGGAAUUCCCUGUGUAGCGGUGAAAUGCAUAGAUACGGGGAGGAAUACCGAUUGCGAAGGCAUGUUACUACGAGUAAACUGACGCUGAUGCACGAAAGCGUGGGGAUCAAACAGGAUUAGAUACCCCAGUAGUCC